CCUACGGGGUGCAGCAGUGGGGAAUAUUGGACAAUGGGCGAAAGCCUGAUCCAGCCAUGCCGCGUGUGUGAAGAAGGCCUUCGGGUUGUAGCACUUUCAGUGGGGAAGAAAGCCUUGGGGCUAAUACCCUCGAGGAAGGACAUCACCCACAGAAGAAGCACCGGCUAACUCCGUGCCAGCAGCCGCGGUAAUACGGAGGGUGCGAGCGUUAAUCGGAAUUACUGGGCGUAAAGCGCGCGUAGGCGGUCUGAUAAGCCGGUUGUGAAAGCCCCGGGCUCAACCUGGGAACGGCAUCCGGAACUGUCAGGCUAGAGUGCAGGAGAGGAAGGUAGAAUUCCCGGUGUAGCGGUGAAAUGCGUAGAGAUCGGGAGGAAUACCAGUGGCGAAGGCGGCCUUCUGGACUGACACUGACGCUGAGGUGCGAAAGCGUGGGUAGCAAACAGGAUUAGAUACCCGGGUAGUC
rnacentral:rRNA from 1 species